rnacentral:rRNA from 1 species
AACGAACGCUGGCGGCAUGCCUAACACAUGCAAGUCGAACGAGACCUUCGGGCCUAGUGGCGCACGGGUGCGUAACGCGUGGGAACCUGCCCUUAGGUUCGGAAUAACUCCCCGAAAGGGGUGCUAAUACCGGAUAAUGUCUUCGGACCAAAGAUUUAUCGCCUUUGGAUGGGCCCGCGUUGGAUUAGCUAGUUGGUAGGGUAAAAGCCUACCAAGGCGACGAUCCAUAGCUGGUCUGAGAGGAUGAUCAGCCACACUGGGACUGAGACACGGCCCAGACUCCUACGGGAGGCAGCAGUGGGGAAUAUUGGACAGUGGGCGAAAGCCUGAUCCAGCAAUGCCGCGUGAGUGAUGAAGGCCUUAGGGUUGUAAAGCUCUUUUACCCGGGAUGAUAAUGACAGUACCGGGAGAAUAAGCUCCGGCUAACUCCGUG